rnacentral:rRNA from 1 species
GACGAACGCUGGCGGCGUGCUUAACACAUGCAAGUCGAACGGAAAGGCCCUGCUUUUGUGGGGUGCUCGAGUGGCGAACGGGUGAGUAACACGUGAGUAACCUGCCCUUGACUUUGGGAUAACUUCAGGAAACUGGGGCUAAUACCGGAUAGGAGCUCCUGCUGCAUGGUGGGGGUUGGAAAGUUUCGGCGGUUGGGGAUGGACUCGCGGCUUAUCAGCUUGUUGGUGGGGUAGUGGCUUACCAAGGCUUUGACGGGUAGCCGGCCUGAGAGGGUGACCGGCCACAUUGGGACUGAGAUACGGCCCAGACUCCUACGGGAGGCAGCAGUGGGGAAUAUUGCACAAUGGGCGGAAGCCUAAUGCAGCAACGCCGCGUGCGGGAUUACGGCCUUCGGGUUGUAAACCGCUUUCGCCUGUGACGAAGCGUGAGUGACGGUAAUGGGUAAAGAAGCACCGGCUAACUACGUG